GAUUUGACGUUAGCGGCGGACGGGUGAGUAACACGUGGAUAACCUACCUAUAAGACUGGGAUAACUUCGGGAAACCGGAGCUAAUACCGGAUAACAUAUUGAACCGCAUGGUUCAAUAGUGAAAGGCGGCUUUGCUGUCACUUAUAGAUGGAUCCGCGCCGUAUUAGCUAGUUGGUAAGGUAACGGCUUACCAAGGCAACGAUACGUAGCCGACCUGAGAGGGUGAUCGGCCACACUGGAACUGAGACACGGUCCAGACUCCUACGGGAGGCAGCAGUAGGGAAUCUUCCGCAAUGGGCGAAAGCCUGACGGAGCAACGCCGCGUGAGUGAUGAAGGUCUUCGGAUCGUAAAACUCUGUUAUCAGGGAAGAACAAAUGUGUAAGUAACUGUGCACAUCUUGACGGUACCUGAUCAGAAAGCCACGGCUAACUACGUGCCAGCAGCCGCGGUAAUACGUAGGUGGCAAGCGUUAUCCGGAAUUAUUGGGCGUAAAGCGCGCGUAGGCGGUUUUUUAAGUCUGAUGUGAAAGCCCACGGCUC
rnacentral:rRNA from 1 species